UGGCUUGGUUUCCUAGGGGGUGGGCUCAGCCUCUGCCACCUCCCCUCAGCUGAGCCUAGAGCAGAGAGGCCAGGCGCUCCCUACUGUGGGAGAGGCAGGUGAGACAGGAGCCUCGCCUGGGCUGUCCUUGCCUCACAGGC
rnacentral:snoRNA from 8 species